GAUGAACGCUGGCGGCGUGCCUAAUACAUGCAAGUCGAGCGAACAGACGAGGAGCUUGCUCCUCUGACGUUAGCGGCGGACGGGUGAGUAACACGUGGAUAACCUACCUAUAAGACUGGGAUAACUUCGGGAAACCGGAGCUAAUACCGGAUAAUAUAUUGAACCGCAUGGUUCAAUAGGGAAAGACGGUUUUGCUGUCACUUAUAGAUGGAUCCGCGCCGCAUUAGCUAGUUGGUAAGGUAACGGAUUACCAAGGCAACGAUGCGUAGCCGACCUGAGAGCGUGAUCGGCCACACUGUAACUGAGACACGGUCCAGACUCCUACGGGAGGCAUCAGUAGGGAAUCUUCCGCAAUGGGCGAAAGCCUGACGGAGCAACGCCGCGUGAGUGAUGAAGGUCUUCGGAUCGUAAAACUCUGUUAUUAGGGAAGAACAAAUGUGUAAGUAACUAUGCACGUCUUGACGGUACCUAAUCAGAAAGCCACGGCUAACUACGUG
rnacentral:rRNA from 1 species